CUACGGGUUGCUGCAGUAAGGAAUAUUGCGCAAUGGAGGCAACUCUGACGCAGCCAUGCCGCGUGCAGGAAGAAGGCCUUAUGGGUCGUAAACUGCUUUUAUUUAGGAAUAAACCCUCGCUCGUGAGCGAGGCUGAAGGUACUGAAUGAAUAAGCACCGGCUAACUCCGUGCCAGCAGCCGCGGUAAUACGGAGGGUGCAAGCGUUAUCCGGAUUUAUUGGGUUUAAAGGGUGCGCAGGCGGGCUAUUAAGUCAGUGGUGAAAUCCCGGGGCUCAACUCCGGAACUGCCAUUGAUACUGAUAGUCUUGAGUUUGGUUGAAGUGGGCGGAAUGUAGCAUGUAGCGGUGAAGUGCAUAGAUAUGCUACAGAACACCAAUCGCGAAGGCAGCUCACUAAGCCAAAACUGACGCUCAUGCACGAAAGCGUGGGGAUCAAACAGGAUUAGAUACCCUCGUAGUC
rnacentral:rRNA from 1 species